GACUACUACCAUACCACCCUGAAUGCAUCUAACUUGUCUGAUUUCAGGACUUGAGCAUGGUCAGCCUUGGUUAGUACUUGGAUGAGAAGACUGCCCAGAACUUUUAAUUUUAUAGGGGUUC
rnacentral:rRNA from 1 species